CUUCAGGAUAGGGACAACAGACGGAAACGACUGCUAAUACCGAAUAAGUUCCAAGAGCCGCAUGGCCCAUGGAAGAAAAGGUGGCCUCUACCUGUAAGCUAUCGCCUGAAGAGGGGUUUGCGUCUGAUUAGCUGGUUGGAGGGGGUAACGGGCCCACCAAGGCGACGAUCAGUAGCCGGUCUGAGAGGAUGAACGGCCACACUGGAACUGAGACACGGUCCAGACUCCUACGGGAGGCAGCAUG
rnacentral:rRNA from 1 species